AUUGAACGCUGGCGGCGUGCUUUACACAUGCAAGUCGAACGGUAACAGGCCGCAAGGUGCUGACGAGUGGCGAACGGGUGAGUAAUGCAUCGGAACGUGCCCAGUCGUGGGGGAUAACUACUCGAAAGAGUAGCUAAUACCGCAUACGAUCUAUGGAUGAAAGCGGGGGACCGUAAGGCCUCGCGCGAUUGGAGCGGCCGAUGUCAGAUUAGGUAGUUGGUGGGGUAAAGGCUCACCAAGCCAACGAUCUGUAGCUGGUCUGAGAGGACGACCAGCCACACUGGGACUGAGACACGGCCCAGACUCCUACGGGAGGCAGCAGUGGGGAAUUUUGGACAAUGGGCGCAAGCCUGAUCCAGCAAUGCCGCGUGCAGGAAGAAGGCCUUCGGGUUGUAAACUGCUUUUGUACGGAACGAAACGGCUCUGGUUAAUACCCGGGGCUAAUGACGGUACCGUAAGAAUAAGCACCGGCUAACUACGUG
rnacentral:rRNA from 1 species